rnacentral:tRNA from 1 species
AGGGUAGUAGUUAAUUAUAACAUUUGGGUUGCAUUCAAAAAGUAUUGAAUAUUUCAAUCUACCUUA